GACAGAGGGUGCAAACGUUGUUCGGAAUCACUGGGCGUAAAGGGCGCGUAGGCGGGAUGGCAAGUCGGUCGUGAAAUCCUUCGGCUCAACCGAAGAACGUCGGGCCGAUACUGCCGUUCUUGAGGGAUGCAGAGGAGAUUGGAAUUCCCGGUGUAGCGGUGAAAUGUGUAGAGAUCGGGAGGAACACCGGUGGCGAAGGCGGGUCUCUGGGCAUCUCCUGACGCUGAGGCGCGAAAAGCGUGGGGAGCAAACGGGG
rnacentral:rRNA from 1 species